rnacentral:rRNA from 1 species
AACGAACGCUGGCGGCGUGUCUUAAGCAUGCAAGUCGAGUGGCAAGGGCAGCUAUGCCCCUAGAACGGCGGACUGGUGAGUAACGCGUGGGUGAUCUGCCCUUGGGUUGGGGAUAGCCAUUAGAAAUAGUGGGUAAUACCGAAUACGUUCGCGAGGCUGUGGCCUUGCGAGGAAAGGCGCUUCGGCGCCGCCCGAGGAUGAGCCCGCGUCCCAUUAGCUAGUUGGUGAGGUAACGGCCCACCAAGGCGAUGAUGGGUAGGCGGCCUGAGAGGGUGUAAGCCCAAGCGGGGACUGAGAUCCGGCCCAGACUCCUACGGGAGGAAGCAGCUAAGAAUAUUCCGAAAUGGACGAAAGUCUGACGGAGCGACGCCGCGGGGAUGAUGAAGGCCGAAAGGUUGUAAAAUCCUUUUGUCGGGGAAGAAUAAGCCUGGGAGGGAAUGCCCGGGUGAUGACAUGAACCGGCGAAUAAGCCCCGGCUAACUACGUGCCAGCCGCCGCCGUAA